rnacentral:rRNA from 1 species
CCUACUGGUGGCUGCAGUGGGGAAUUUUGGACAAUGGGCGCAAGCCUGAUCCAGCCAUUCCGCGUGAGUGAAGAAGGCCUUCGGGUUGUAAAGCUCUUUCGCCAGGGAAGAAAACUUAUCCUCUAACAUAGGAUGAGGUUGACGGUACCUUGAUAAGAAGCACCGGCUAACUACGUGCCAGCAGCCGCGGUCAUACGUAGGGUGCGAGCGUUCAUCGGAAUUACUGGGGGUAAAGUGUGCGCCAGAUGUUAAAUCCCCGAGCUCAACUUGGGAACUGCGUUUGAAACUACAAGACUAGAAUAGGUCAGAGGGGGGUAGAAUGCCACGUGUAGCAGUGAAAUGCGUAGAGAUGUGGAGGAAUAUCAAUGGCGAAGGCAGCCCCCUGGGAUCAUAUUGACGCUCAUGCACGAAAGCGUGGGGAGCAAACAGGAUUAGAUACCCGUGUAGUC